ACCGGAAGCUGCGCUCACAAAACAGAAGAGGUCGGAAGCGCGUCUGGCUUUCGUCUCCCGUUCGCCCGCUGCCCGCGUCGGUUCUGAGCUUCGGCCGGUCACCCGCUGCCUCCCGUCGCUUGCACCAUGGCCCUCAGCGAUGCCGACGUGCAAAAGCAGAUUAAGCACAUGAUGGCUUUUAUUGAACAAGAAGCCAAUGAGAAAGCAGAAGAAAUAGAUGCAAAGGCAGAAGAAGAGUUCAACAUUGAGAAAGGUCGUCUUGUGCAGACCCAAAGACUGAAGAUUAUGGAAUACUACGAGAAGAAAGAAAAGCAGAUUGAGCAGCAGAAGAAAAUUCAGAUGUCUAAUUUGAUGAAUCAAGCGAGGCUCAAAGUCCUCAGAGCGAGAGAUGACCUUAUCACAGACCUACUAAAUGAAGCCAAACAGAGGCUCAGCAAAGUGGUAAAAGAUACGACCAGGUACCAGGUGCUGCUGGAUGGACUGGUCCUCCAGGGUUUGUACCAGUUGUUGGAGCCCCGAAUGAUCAUUCGUUGCAGGAAACAGGAUUUCCCUCUGGUGAAGGCUGCGGUGCAGAAAGCAAUCCCCGUGUACAAAAUCGCCACCAAAAGAGACGCUGAUGUCCACAUUGACCAGGAGGCCUGCCUGCCUGAGGAAGUAGCUGGCGGGGUAGAGAUCUACAACGGGGAUCGCAAAAUCAAGGUCUCCAAUACCCUCGAAAGCCGGCUGGACCUCAUAGCCCAGCAGAUGCUGACCCAAAGCCCCAGAACCCCAAGCCGCAGCAGGAAUGAUGGAAAGUCAAGCAACUGCUCUUAAAGGAAUUGCCACAGGGCGCCAGGCUCUUCAGGUGUUUCCGGGUUUGCAGGAAACCAGCCAGAAAACUUGAGUUGUCCCGAGUGCGGGGCCUCUUCCAGGGGUGUGGUCUGCUGCCCCGACCUUGACCGGCGUCUUCUGAUGAUGCCCGAAGUGCGGGGAGCCUUGUUUGGGGCAAAUGCCAACAGGAAGUUUUUGGACUAAGCCUGAGGGAGGUGGCGUCCACCCACUGCGUGAUGUGGACGUUUCUGACAGUUGAAGAGACAAGAUGGCCUGCGUAGCUUCCUCUUUGCUGUCCUCCUGUCCUGUCCUGCAUCUAUCGGUGGAAGCCCUGCUGUAGCUAACACCCCGGCUGGUGGGGACCAACGGGCGAGAGUCUCACUUAGUACGAUCAGGAAACCUUCCUCUAGCUUGUCUCAAAGUAACACAACUUCCCGCUGUUCUGCAGCACAGAGGCGAGGGGUCAGGUGGUGGGUGCAUGAGUGUCCCCAGGCCUCCUGCUCUCCUGGGGUCCAGCCUCGGGGGGGCAGAGUGGUGGGCUCUGGGGUCAGGUCUCCACUCUUUGGGCUUCAAGUGCAUGUGGGGCCUCAUUUCUUCCAGCAGCAGCAGCUUCACUGUUAACCUGUUUGGGCCUAGAAAUGUCUAUAAAUGUGAUUUAAGAUCUAAGCCGUGAAUAUGCUUUAUUUAUUAAAAUGUAACACGUA